rnacentral:rRNA from 1 species
GAUACCCUAUUAUUUUAAAUGUAAAUUUUUAAACUGAAAUUAUUAAUAGUUAAGGCCUUUAAAGUUAAAGAUUUUGGCGGUAUUUUAGUCUUUUCAGAGGAACCUGUCUUUUGAUCGAUAGUCCACGAUGAAUUUUACUUUAUUUUUUAAUUUGCAUAUCGUCGUUAAAUAAAUAUUUUAUUAGAAUUUUAAUGUUUGAGAGUUUUUAUUAAAAGGUAAUUCAGAUCAAGGUGUAGUUUAUAAUAAAGUUAAGAUGGGUUACAUUAUAUUUAUAUGUAGUUUUCUUUUUAAAAAUGGGAAUUAAAAUGGAUUUGAAAGUAAUAUUUAUAUUUAUGUAAUAUGAUUUAGCUCUAAAAUAUGCACACAUCGCC